GCAGUCGAGCGAUUCUCUUCGGAGAAGAGCGGCGGACGGGUGAGUAACGCGUGGGUAACCUGCCCUAUACACACGGAUAACAUACCGAAAGGUAUGCUAAUACGAGAUAACAUAAGAGAUUCGCAUGGAUUUCUUAUCAAAGCUUUUGCGGUAUAGGAUGGACCCGCGUCUGAUUAGCUAGUUGGUAAGGUAACGGCUUACCAAGGCGACGAUCAGUAGCCGACCUGAGAGGGUGAUCGGCCACAUUGGAACUGAGACACGGUCCAAACUCCUACGGGAGGCAGCAGUGGGGAAUAUUGCACAAUGGGCGAAAGCCUGAUGCAGCAACGCCGCGUGAGCGAUGAAGGCCUUCGGGUCGUAAAGCUCUGUCCUCAAGGAAGAUAAUGACGGUACUUGAGGAGGAAGCCCCGGCUAACUACGUGCCAGCAGCCGCGGUAAUACGUAGGGGGCUAGCGUUAUCCGGAAUUACUGGGCGUAAAGGGUGCGUAGGUGGUUUCUUAGGUCAGAGGUGAAAGGCUACGGCUCAACCGUAGUAAGCCUUUGAAACUGAGAAACUUGAGUGCAAGAGAGGAGAGUAGAAUUCCUAGUGUAGCGGUGAAAUGCGUAGAUAUUAGGAGGAAUACCAGUUGCGAAGGCGGCUCUCUGGACUGUAACUGACACUGAGGCACGAAAGCGUGGGGAGCAAACAGGAUUAGAUACCCUGGUAGUCCACGCCGUAAACGAUGAGUACUAGCUGUCGGAGGUUACCCCCUU
rnacentral:rRNA from 1 species